rnacentral:lncRNA from 1 species
UCUGUCUACAAGCCUCUAAGAAUAUAUAACUGUCAUAAAGGUCGGGACAGAGCCCCGCCAUACCAAACCAUACACAUCUAAAUCAUACUGACCAAUCAAGCAACUCCGGAGCGAAUGGAGUGCACUAAUAUCUUUUGUUGAGCUGAUCGCCUACUUGGAGGACUCUCGACCUGUCUAUCAAGACCUGCGGGCAUGAAACGCAACGUCCCCAGGCAAAAGGGAUGUCAGUACAAAUAAUGUACCGACUAUGUAAGGAAUGAAAACCAGUAAAUAAUAAACAUGAGAGAAAUAUGGAGUAAAAAAGACUCGAAUGUACAUUUGCAUAACUCUGUGAAUCAUUUUAUUUUUUUAUAAUAUCAUGCAUAUGCGUAUAACUGUCAUACCAUGCAUAGGUAUAUACGUUCAUAACAUCAUAAAGCCUCUGAGGGCAUCCCAUAAUAUUAUUUCGGCCACUGUGGGCAAAUUAUCAACGUAUACCAACUGAUCAGGUGGUGGUGCGUAUAUAACAUCGUAACCUUUUCCCAUAUCCCAUAUACAUAUAUAUACGCGUAUAUAACACCAUCUGGUCAUGGGUCAAUAUACAUGUACAAAUGCAUGAAAUGCAUAAGAAAUACAUUAAUAAGAUUUUUCGGAAUGUCAUAAAAAUAAUAUGCAUGUCAGAUAAAUUUUAUUCGGAUAAAUUUUAUCAAAUACGUAUUUUUCUGAAAACCGUGAACAGAGGAUAUAAUAAUAAUUCACAUGGGGAAUCAAGAAUAUAGACAUCCCUAAUAUUUCUAUGAAUAGAGUCAUAUAUGAAAGUUACGUAUUUGCUCGUUUCGUUUGUAUCGUACGGAUCAUACCAAAAGGAAAGAAGGGAUAGCCUUAACAUACAUGGAGUACGAAAAAAUCAGUAUGAUAUUCUCGGAAAAAGUUGCACCGUACUCCUUUAGAACCGCAAAAAUUUGCGUUGCUAAUAAUUCUCGUUGGAUCCCUUUGGAUU